UGUCAAUUCUGAACAUACAGAUUAACGAUAGUUGCGUUAAAAUAAAGCACAUGCGAAAAGUGUUAAAUGAGACUGCGAGGUGACAUAAAACAGCAAUUAACUAAACCUUUUGCGAUACACUUCCAUUGAUCAUUUCAACGAUGUUCGGAAUCGGAAAUAAAUGAAACAGGAAUAAACCAGGGAAUGUGACAUCUACUUGAUGGACCAAUUAAAAUCGUUAAGACAAUCACGUGAUAGGAAUUUAACCUGUAUGUAAUGUGAUUCAGUGAUUGAUCAGAUAACUUGAUUUUAUUCAUUAUUGAUGUGAAUGUCGGGCUUGCCUUGUCGGAUUCUGCAACACUUUAUCUUGUUUUAUGGAAGAUGUGAGUUUUCUGAGCUCACUAAUGUGCUGCACACUCAAGACAGUCAAGUGCCGUUUUUCUACUCUUUCUUGUACGGAGAGCGCUAUGGAAGCAGUAGCACAAACUUUAUUUGUGAAAUAGCCAUUGCAGACAGCAGACUCGAAGUCGAAGAUGUCGUUUGUAAUAAUAAAGUCAAACCAAAGAUGUCGUUGUUAUAGGCUUGCCCAUAUAAUAGUUUUAAAUGUUAAAAGUGCGGUUGAAAUUCACUUUGCCAUUAAUGUGAGCUUCAAAGUUCAAUAUUGUGCUGACAAAUCUAAGAACAUUGUAGGGCAAAGAAACUGCUCACUCAUCUGACUUGGGUUAGCUUUUCCUGACAUGGCUUCUGAGAUGAGAAAGAUUUGAUUGUAAAAUAUUGGCAAAUGUGUGGACUUGAAGUAAACACUAUCAUUGAAAUUUUAAAAUGGUGCUGUCAGAGAAAGAGUUUGCUUGGAAAUCAGUCAGGUUGUUAAAAAUGCAGUUGGUUGGACUUAUGGGUGUUGUCUAUGCCAUAAAGGCAUAACAUUUUCCUCAGAAGUUGAUAUGGAUUUACAACAUAUUUCUUUCUGUCAUUAUGAACAAAAAGUUUCAGGCUUCACGCUUUAACAUAUCCUUAGCAAUCUUGGUUGAACAUUAAGGAAAUAGGACCAUAGCCUGUAGGCCAAGUUUUAUGCUGAAACUGAUUGAGGAUUUGUUGGACUUUGGACAUUCAAUCAUUGCGAUUCUAGGAAGUUGAUGAUUGUACUUUCAUAUACUUGUUCUAUCAGUUUAAUGUUACUUGCUAUCAGUUUAGUGUUGAUAAGAGCAAAGUUAAAGACCAAUGACAUUAGGGAAAAAUACCAUUUAAUUUAAGAAAAAAUUGAAAUUCCAUAAUUAUAUUUUAUGAUGAUGUGUCAUUCUUGGACAAUUGCCAAACACCUUUCAUAAAGAAUUUUUUGCCAAAACAAA